rnacentral:rRNA from 1 species
CCUACGGGUGACUGCAGUAGGGAAUAUUGCUCAAUGGGGGAAACCCUGAAGCAGCAACGCCGCGUGGAGGAUGAAGGUUUUCGGAUUAUAAACUCCUGUUGUUAGAGAAGAUAAUGACGGUAUCUAACGAAUAAGCACCGGCUAACUCCGUGCCACCAGCCGCGGUAAUACGGAGGGGGCAAGCGUUACUCUGAAUAACUGGGCGUAAAGGGCGCGUAGGCGGGAUAGCAAGUCAGAUGUGAAAUCCUAUGGCUUAACCAUAGAACUGCAUUUGAAACUGUUAUUCUAGAGUAUGGGAGAGGUAGGUGGAAUUCUUGGGGUAGGGGUAAAAUCCGUAGAGAUCAAGAGGAAUACUCAGUGCGAAGGCGACCUGCUAGAACAUAACUGACGCUGAUGCGCGAAAGCGUGGGGAGCAAACAGGAUUAGAUACCCCUGUAGUC